AACGAACGCUGGCGGCAGGCUUAACACAUGCAAGUCGAACGCCCCGCAAGGGGAGUGGCAGACGGGUGAGUAACGCGUGGGAAUCUACCCAGAACUUCGGAACAACUGAGGGAAACUUCAGCUAAUACCGGAUACGCCCUACGGGGGAAAGAUUUAUCGGUUCUGGAUGAGCCCGCGUUGGAUUAGCUAGUUGGUGAGGUAAAGGCUCACCAAGGCGACGAUCCAUAGCUGGUCUGAGAGGAUGAUCAGCCACACUGGGACUGAGACACGGCCCAGACUCCUACGGGAGGCAGCAGUGGGGAAUAUUGGACAAUGGGCGAAAGCCUGAUCCAGCCAUGCCGCGUGAGUGAUGAGGGCCUUAGGGUUGUAAACCUCUUUCAGCAGGGAAGAAGCGAAAGUGACGGUACCUGCAGAAGAAGCACCGGCUAACUCCGUG
rnacentral:rRNA from 1 species